CUUCCAGUAGCACCUUAGAGACCAACUAAGUUUGUUAUUGGUAUGAGCUUUCGUGUGCAAACUUAGUUGGUCUCUAAAGUGCUACUGGAAG